GAAUCUUGCACAAUGGAGGGAACUCUGAUGCAGCGACGUCGCGUGAACGAUGAAGGCUUUCGAGUCGUAAAGUUCUGUCCUAUGGGACGAUAAUGACGGUACCAUAGGAGGAAGCCCCGGCUAACUACGUGCCAGCAGCCGCGGUAAUACGUAGGGGGCGAACGUUGUCCGGAUUUAUUGGGCGUAAAGGGUACGCAGGCGGCCAUGUAAGUCAGAUGUGAAAUCCUAGGGCUUAACCCUAGUUAGCAUUUGAAACUGUGUGGCUUGAGUUAAGGAGAGGAAAGUGGAAUUCCUAGUGUAGCGGUGAAAUGCGUAGAUAUUAGGAGGAAUACCAGUGGCGAAGGCGACUUUCUGGACUUAUACUGACGCUGAGGUACGAAAGCGUGGGGAGCAAACA
rnacentral:rRNA from 1 species